UACAGAGACUGCAAGCGUUAUUCGGAUUCACUGGGUGUAAAGGGUGCGCAGGCGGACUGGUGAGUCUGGGGUGAAAUCUCGCUGCUUAACAGCGAAACUGCCUUAGAUACUAUCAGUCUUGAAUCAGCGAGAGGUUCGUGGAAUUCCGAGUGUAGCAGUGAAAUGUGUAGAUAUUCGGAAGAACACCAGUGGCGAAGGCAGCGAACUGGCGCUCGAUUGACGCUCAGGCACGAAAGUAUGGGGAUCAAACAGG
rnacentral:rRNA from 1 species